GAUGAACGCUGGCGGCGUGCCUAAUACAUGCAAGUCGAGCGAAUGGAUUAAGAGCUUGCUCUUAUGAAGUUAGCGGCGGACGGGUGAGUAACACGUGGGUAACCUGCCCAUAAGACUGGGAUAACUCCGGGAAACCGGGGCUAAUACCGGAUAACAUUUUGAACCGCAUGGUUCGAAAUUGAAUGGCGGCUUCGGCUGUCACUUGUGGAUGGACCCGCGUCGCAUUAGCUAGUUGGUGAGGUAACGGCUCACCAAGGCAACGAUGCGUAGCCGACCUGAGAGGGUGAUCGGCCACACUGGGACUGAGACACGGCCCAGACUCCUACGGGAGGCAGCAGUAGGGAAUCUUCCGCAAUGGACGAAAGUCUGACGGAGCAACGCCGCGUGAGUGAUGAAGGCUUUCGGGUCGUAAAACUCUGUUGUUAGGGAAGAACAAGUGCUAGUUGAAUAAGCUGGCACCUUGACGGUACCUAACCAGAAAGCCACGGCUAACUACGUGCCAGACGCCGCUGUAA
rnacentral:rRNA from 1 species